AAGUCCGCGGCUAAUAGACAGUAAAGCACGAUCUGCGAUCCGAAAACCCUAAACGCGCCGCGGCUAAUAGACGGUAAGCACGAGGAGCGAUCCGAAAACCCUAAAAGCCGCCGCACCCCCUCCACUUUAAAAGCCAACUUAGGGUUACAGUACUUCAACUUAGGGUAAGCACGAAGUCGAACCCCGCGGAGGCGUCUGCUGCCCUCCCUCCAUUCGGUGGUCGUGCUGCAAGGGUUCGAGAUCUGAGGAUCGAUUUCUUGACGGCUUUGUUCUGGGGGCAUAUAUUGUUUUCCUUCCAAAGCAUAAGGGGUGCUUUCAUCCAGAGCUGGUGCUUGUUGCAUCUCUGGCUUCCCUUUCUUUGGCAAAAAAUCCCAUGUUUGCGGUUCCGAAGAACCAGUUAUUGAAGAAUGUAUUGAGAUACAUGGUAAAUUUAUGGAGACCAAUUUCAUCCAAUGAACUUCUGAAUAUAAGGUCCAUCUGAGUUGAGGUCCUUUUUUCACUUGUAAAAUGUGGUAGGGAUGCUUGUUUGUCAAGUAUGGUGUAUGUAACUCGUUGACAAGUUUGUGAAAAAAUUGUUUAUUGGAUUCCAGCGUGUACAAAUUUUUAGAUUUUAGGUGUAGGACAUUUUGAUUAACAGUUUUUUAAAAUUUGAGAAAGAAUUGAAACAUUGUUAAUUUUUUGGGUAGUAAAGGUAGUGAGGAAUUUUGAAGUGUUCAGCUGAUUAAA